AUUGAACGCUGGCGGCAGGCCUAACACAUGCAAGUCGAGCGGAUGAAGGGAGCUUGCUCCUGGAUUCAGCGGCGGACGGGUGAGUAAUGCCUAGGAAUCUGCCUGGUAGUGGGGGAUAACGUCCGGAAACGGGCGCUAAUACCGCAUACGUCCUGAGGGAGAAAGUGGGGGAUCUUCGGACCUCACGCUAUCAGAUGAGCCUAGGUCGGAUUAGCUAGUUGGUGGGGGAAAGGCCUACCAAGGCGACGAUCCGUAACUGGUCUGAGAGGAUGAUCAGUCACACUGGAACUGAGACACGGUCCAGACUCCUACGGGAGGCAGCAGUGGGGAAUAUUGGACAAUGGGCGAAAGCCUGAUCCAGCCAUGCCGCGUGAGUGAAGAAGGUCUUCGGAUUGUAAAGCACUUUAAGUUGGGAGGAAGGGCAGUAAGUUAAUACCUUGCUGUUUUGACGUUACCAACAGAAUAAGCACCGGCUAACUUCGUG
rnacentral:rRNA from 1 species